rnacentral:lncRNA from 1 species
CCCUAUGUCUGCCAUCUCCGCACACUACUGACAAUAUUUGGACUUUUAUUUUGACAAAAUGUCGAAUGGUGACCAUAUUGAAAUUUCCGGUUGGUUCCACCGCUCAUGGUUGAACUCAGCUACCUGCUCGCAUCGGCACAACUAUACAGUAUCUGUGGACAGUUAAGUAGGUUGUCUAUUGAAUGAAGGAAAUAUGUAAAUUUGACUAAUUGGGUAAAGUCUUGCCGGUCAAACAACUUAGGAUAGCUAAGUGAACAUUAGCUACCCAUCUCUGUGUAGCUACGUCCUCAGUGUUAAGUUAAUAUGGAGCCAGAGGUUUUGACUGCUCAACGGGACGAAAUGAAGAAUGUACUGGAGGUGGUUAACGGCAGCCUUUCGGAGUCGUAUAACGUUAACUUCCAUCAUAAUGAUGUUGUGAACAGUGUUACUGAAUCACUCGACUUAAUUACACAGAGGGAGAAGAUUCAACGACAAAUUUCAGCGCUUGAAAGUUAUUUUGAUGCAGAAGUGCAUUCAGACAUGUCAGCCUGCAGUCCCACAGAUGCUGAAUCAGAUGAUGAUGAUGAAGAUGAUGAUGAUGAUGAUGGUGGUGAUGACGCGUUGGAUGUAAGAUCAGAAAUGUAUUUUCAAGCCUACUCUGAGUUUGAUGCUGAUAGGCAGAGGUUACAAUUAGGGUGAACGAUUAAUUGCAUUUGCGAUUUAAUCGCGAUAUGAUAGAACGCGAUUUUCUAACCGCAACGUUCGUGAUAAAAAAACGUGGUCUAAAAAAAAUAAAAAUAAAAUUUAAUUUUUUUUUUUUUUUUUU